rnacentral:rRNA from 1 species
AACGAACGCUGGCGGCAGGCUUAACACAUGCAAGUCGAGCGCCCCGCCAGGGUAGCGGCUGCCGGGUGAGUAACGCGUGGGGACGUACCUUUUGGUUCGGAACAACUCCGGGAAACUGGAGCUAAUACCGGAUAAGCCCUAACGGGGAAAGAUUUAUCGCCGAAAGAUCGGCGCGCGUCUGAUUAGCGAGUUGGUGAGGUAACGGCACACCAAGGCGACGAUCAGUAGCUGGGCUGAGAGGAGGAUCAGCCACACUGGGACUGAGACACGGCCCAGACUCCUACGGAACGCAGCAGUGGGGAAUAUUGGACAAUGGGCGCAAGCCUGACCCAGCCAUGCCGGGUGAGUGAUGAAGGCCUUAGGGUUGUAAAGCUAUUUUGUCCGGGAAGAUAAUGACUGUACCGGAAGAAUAAGCCCCGGCUAACUUCGUG